rnacentral:rRNA from 4 species
GAGUUUGAUCAUGGCUCAGAUUGAACGCUGGCGGCAUGCCUUACACAUGCAAGUCGAACGGCAGCACGGGAGCUUGCUCCUGGUGGCGAGUGGCGAACGGGUGAGUAAUGCAUCGGAACGUAUCCUGGAGUGGGGGAUAACGUAGCGAAAGUUACGCUAAUACCGCAUAUUCUGUGAGCAGGAAAGCGGGGGACCUUCGGGCCUCGCGCUCUUGGAGCGGCCGAUGUCGGAUUAGCUAGUUGGUGAGGUAAAGGCUCACCAAGGCGACGAUCCGUAGCAGGUCUGAGAGGAUGAUCUGCCACACUGGAACUGAGACACGGUCCAGACUCCUACGGGAGGCAGCAGUGGGGAAUUUUGGACAAUGGGGGCAACCCUGAUCCAGCCAUGCCGCGUGAGUGAAGAAGGCCUCGGUGUAAG